rnacentral:rRNA from 1 species
GGAGGAAAAGAAACCAACAGGGAUUGCCUCAGUAACGGCGAGUGAAGCGGCAACAGCUCAAAUUUGAAAUCUGGAGUCUUUGGCUUCCGAGUUGUAAUUUGAAGAGGAUGUUUCGGUGCGACCUGGGCCUAAGUUCCUUGGAACAGGACGUCAUGGAGGGUGAGAAUCCCGUACAUGGCUGCAGGUUUGCUUCUAUGUGAAACUCCUUCGAAGAGUCGAGUUGUUUGGGAAUGCAGCUCAAAAUGGGUGGUAAAUUUCAUCUAAAGCUAAAUAUUGGCGGGAGACCGAUAGCGCACAAGUAGAGUGAUCGAAAGAUGAAAAGCACUUUGAAAAGAGAGUUAAACAGUACGUGAAAUUGUUGAAAGGGAAGCGCUUGCAAUCAGACUCGCCUUCGGUUGAUCAACCUUCCUUCUGGUUGGUGCACUCUGCUGUUGGCGGGCCAGCAUCAGUUGGGGCGGUGGGACAAAGGCAGCAGGAAUGUGGCUCGCUUCGGCGAGUGUUAUAGCCUGCUGUGUCAUGCCACCAGCCCCGAUUGAGGUCCGCGGUUCGCCUAGGAUGCUGGCUUAAUGGUUGUAAGCGACCCGUCUUGAAACACGGACCAAGGAGUCUAACAUCUAUGCGAGUCUUUGGGUGUAAAACCCAUGGGCGAAAUGAAAGUGAACGGAGGUGGGAGUCCUCGGAUGCACCAUCGACCGAUCCUGAUGUUCUCGGAUGGAUUUGAGUAUGAGCAUAGCUGUUGGGACCCGAAAGAUGGUGAACUAUGCCUGAAUAGGGUGAAGCCAGAGGAAACUCUGGUGGAGGCUCGCAGCGGUUCUGACGUGCAAAUCGAUCGUCAAAUUUGGGUAUAGGGGCGAAAGACUAAUCGAACCAUCUAGUAGCUGGUUCCUGCCGAAG